rnacentral:tRNA from 1 species
GGACGAGAACGUCGGCCUCGGCCGGGCCCGCAACGCGGGACUGCCGCACGCCACCGGCGACUACCUCAUCUUCC